rnacentral:piRNA from 1 species
AUGGCUCUGGUAGAAUCAGAGGAUGAUCUGGU